GCGGGAAUAGCUCAAUCGGAGAGCGCAACCUUGACGGGUUGAGGCCGGAAGUUCGACUCUUCCAUCCCGCGCCA
rnacentral:tRNA from 4 species